GAGAAACGGCUACCACAUCCAAGGAAGGCAGCAGGCGCGCAAAUUACCCAAUCCCGACACGGGGAGGUAGUGACAAUAAAUACUGAUACAGGGCUCUUUUGGGUCUUGUAAUUGGAAUGAGUACAAUUUAAAUCCCUUAACGAGGAACAAUUGGAGGGCAAGUCUGGUGCCAGCAGCCGCGGUAAUUCCAGCUCCAAUAGCGUAUAUUAAAGUUGUUGCAGUUAAAAAGCUCGUAGUUGAACCUUGGGCCUGGCUGGCCGGUCCGCCUCACCGCGUGUACUGGUCCGGCCGGGCCUUUCCUUCUGGAGAGCCCCAUGCCCUUCACUGGGUGUGCGGGGGAACCAGGACUUUUACUUUGAAAAAAUUAGAGUGUUCAAAGCAGGCCUUUGCUCGAAUACGUUAGCAUGGAAUAAUAGAAUAGGACGUGUGGUUCUAUUUUGUUGGUUUCUAGAACCGCCGUAAUGAUUAAUAGGGAUAGUCGGGGGCAUCAGUAUUCAAUUGUCAGAGGUGAAAUUCUUAGAUUUAUUGAAGACUAACUACUGCGAAAGCAUUUGCCAAGGAUGUUUUCAUUAAUCAGUGAACGAAAGUCAGGGGAUCGAAGACGAUCAGAUACCGUCGUAGUCUUGACCGUAAACUAUGCCGACUAGGGAUCGGGCGGUGUUUCUAUCUUGACCCGCUCGGCACCUUACGAGAAAUCAAAG
rnacentral:rRNA from 1 species